GUAGGCAAUAUAAGAUAGGCUUCAUCGCAGCUUUUUCAGUGUGUCUAAGGCACUGACAGUGACAUCGUCAAUUUCUGCUCUGAGUUUUAAUUCCCCAAAGAAGAAAAAAGUUUUGCACUGAAGCUACUAUGACGCGUGUGAUGUUCCUGGCGGUGAUCGCUGCUUUAGCCAUCUGUGCUGAGACAGCUUCACUGGGACAUCAAAGAUCUCAAGGGGAACUGCACCAGGAAAACGUCAGUUCUCUUGGU